AACGAACGCUGGCGGCAUGCCUAACACAUGCAAGUCGAACGAGAUCCUUCGGCGUCUAGUGGAGCACGGGUGCGUAACGCGUGGGAAUCUGCCCGUAGGUUCGGAAUAACAGUUAGAAAUGACUGCUAAUAUCGGAUGAUGACGUUAAGUCCAUAGAUUUAUCGCCUGAGGAUGAGCCCGCGUAGGAUUAGCUAGUUGGUGUGGUAAAGGCGCACCAAGGCGACGAUCCUUAGCUGGACUGAGAGGAUGAUCAGCCACACUGGGACUGAGACACGGCCCAGACUCGUGCGAGAGGCGGCAGAGGGGAAUAUUGGGGAAUGGGCGCAAGCCUGAGCCAGCAAGGCGGCGUUGGUGGUGAAGGGGUUAGGAUUGUAAAGCGCUUGUGCCCGGGAUGAUAAUGACAGUACCGGGAGAAUAAGCCCCGGCUAACUCCGUG
rnacentral:rRNA from 1 species